GACGAACGCUGGCGGCGUGCCUAAUACAUGCAAGUAGAACGCACAGUUUAUACCGUAGCUUGCUACACCAUAGACUGUGAGUUGCGAACGGGUGAGUAACGCGUAGGUAACCUGCCUGGUAGCGGGGGAUAACUAUUGGAAACGAUAGCUAAUACCGCAUAAUAUUAAUUAUUGCAUGAUAAUUAAUUGAAAGGUGCAAUUGCACCACUACCAGAUGGACCUGCGUUGUAUUAGCUAGUAGGUGAGGUAACGGCUCACCUAGGCGACGAAACAUAGCCGACCUGAGAGGGUGAUCGGCCACACUGGGACUGAGACACGGCCCAGACUCCUACGGGAGGCAGCAGUAGGGAAUCUUCGGCAAUGGACGAAAGUCUGACCGAGCAACGCCGCGUGAGUGAAGAAGGUUUUCGGAUCGUAAAGCUCUGUUGUAAGAGAAGAACGGGUGUGAGAGUGGAAAGUUCACACUGUGACGGUAUCUUACCAGAAAGGGACGGCUAACUACGUG
rnacentral:rRNA from 1 species